rnacentral:rRNA from 1 species
CCCUUAGAUGUUCUGGGCCGCACGCGCGCUACACUGAUUCAUGCAACAAGUUUUGUCCUUGGCUGAUAGGCCUGGGUAAUCUUUGAACGUGAAUCGUGAUGGGGAUAGAUGAUUGCAAUUAUUCAUCUUCAACGAGGAAUUCCUAGUAAACGCAAGUCAUCAGCUUGCAUUGAUUACGUCCCUGCCCUUUGUACACACCGCCCGUCGCACCUACCGAUUGAAUGGUCCGGUGAAAUCUUCGGAUCUGAGAGAUGUCUGAUUAAUUUCGGACGCCUUUUGGAAAAGUUGUUUAAACCUUACCAUUUAGAGGAAGGUGAAGUCGUNACA